AAAACACUUGAUUCUGUGCAAAAAGAUGGCCUAUCAAGUUCCAAGGGUACACGAAUCAUGAUCUAGGUAUCUCUAUGUUAGAAGUUAACAACAGUUCCUGAUUGUACCCAACCUAUAUCAGCUAUACAUACAACGUUAGAAUAAUUUAUAGCAUGAGUUUAUCUAUUUCCAUGGCACAUUUGGCAUGCCCUGUGGAUUGCUGCUACAGCCUCCAGUGCUCUGGUUAGGAGGGCUUACAGGCCCACCAGAUGAUUCACUAAAAGUUCCACGGGAUGUGGGGCUUCCUGCUACUGAUGCACCUAGAGCAUACAAGGUUUCAGGUUGGUUAAUCCCCAGACUUGAUUCUUUCCAAUCUUCUGAGAUAAAACUACCUACAAUAACCUGUAAACAGAACCAAACACUAAUGCAUCAACCAUACAAAGUCUAUAAAUGGUAGCAAGGGCAGGAAGAAUACAUAUAACAGUGGAGAGGGUCAAUCAAAAUACUGAGAAAAAAGGCAAAGGGAAGAAAUAAAAAGGAUCAAUUUCCAUUUAAUAAUUAGUUAGCAAUGUAAAAUCAUAUGGAGAAAUCCCAAAACUCUCUGCUUGUGCAAUCUCUAUAUGACAAACUGAUAGUCACGGUUACAUCCAGCACAAAAGAAAUAAUGAGGACCAGAAGAUAAAGAACCUGAACAGAAGAUGCUGCUAUGAGGAGCCCUGCCACUCCACCAAGAACACGACCAUCAGGCCCAGCUAGUAAAACACUUAAACAACCUGUUCUGCUGCGCUGGCCACUACUCUCUGAAGGGAGAAAUGAACCAGAUAGUGACAAAAUCUCAAAUCGUCCCUCAUAUGAUACGGCUCCACCUAAUGUUGCAGCUUGAUGAAGUGUUACAUUAGAUAAAGCACCAUUUGCUGACAAAAUGCAGACACCUCUGAGGCCAUUUUGGGAGAAUGACAUUAUUUUCAAUAACACAUCCUCUCCAGCCUUCACCGUUAUAACAUGUGGUGCAAAUCCAACUCCUGAUCCAAGAGUGGCAAGUUGGUUUUUGCGGCCCGAGCCAGGAGGUCUGCCUCUUGCUUUCUUUGCAGUGGAUGAUGGCGAAGGAGGAGACUGGAAUCCAGAAUGGUGAAGAAGAGGAGACUGGUGGGGUUCAUGGUGCUGGUGGUGGUGGGACAGCGGAGAUGUGAGGUUGAGGCUGACAUUACCAUGGGGUGGAGAGUAUUUCCUUGGCCGCCCGCGUUUCCUCUUCAUUGGCUCCGCAGUAUUCAUGUUAAGUCCAUCAACACUGACAUCGACGCCGAUCCCGCCACAACCCAUUAGCAUCAUCUCAUGGUGGUGCGGUGGGAUUGAUUGAAGAUGAUGAAGUGUAUCAUCGGUAGUAAUAGGCAUGAUGGGCUGGUAAACUGGAGUAGCCUCAUCUGCUCUGAAUGCCAAGUUCAUAUUUGAUGAUGGGGUUAUGGUUGGGCUCUGAUUCCUUUCACCGCCUCCUCCGUACGAUUCUCUUCCUGACAUUUUUCUUGGAUCCCAAUCAUCAUCUACUUAAUCAGUGUAUACUUCUAAAACCCUAACAAAUCGACCCCUACUUUCUUUAAAACCUCAUUUCCAAUUUUCAAUCCAAAUUUCCAUUCUAUUGGGUGUUUCUCGAAACCGAUUCAAAAGCUCAAAUCUUAACUUUCUGCAAUUGUUUCCAAAUCCCAGACAUUUUUCUGAUAAAAUUUUCUGAAAAUUUUUAAACCGACCUCAUUUAUUUUUGUUAAAUUCCGCUGUGAAAUUAAAGUUCCAAAAUUUCUGAUAAGACUUUUUUAUUUGAUUAUUGAAUAUAAAAUAGAGCAAUAAUUUUUUAUUCAAAAAAAAAAAUCUUUUCUGUUUUUCGAUAAUCUUCAAAAAUUAAAAGAAUAAGAAAAUCAAUUCCAUAAAAGAAAAAUGCUUACCAAAAGGAAAAUGGAUUUUGUAGAUGAACAAGGUCGAUGCAAGCUUCGAAGCGCCAAGGAAAAAUAACUAAGAAAUUAGGGUUUUCGUAAUUUUUUUUUAUUUUUAAUUUUCUUGUUUUUUUUCCGGCUUUAUUUUUAUUUUCGUUUUUAAAAAGGAGGCUGAUUAACAAUGUCCAGCAAAUACCGAAGCGAUCUCACGCCACCCUCCAAUGCUGUAAAAACUCCCCAAGAACUGAAAAUUGGAGAAUCAACCAAUGUCAAGUAAAAAAUGGGUUUGUUCCUUUACUUUGUUUUCUAUGGUUAACUUUUUAUUUGUUGUGUUUUUACUUUUGUUUUUCU
rnacentral:misc_RNA from 1 species